rnacentral:rRNA from 1 species
GAUGAACGCUGGCGGCGUGCCUAAUACAUGCAAGUCGAGCGAAUGGAUUAAGAGCUUGCUCUUAUGAAGUUAGCGGCGGACGGGUGAGUAACACGUGGGUAACCUGCCCAUAAGACUGGGAUAACUCCGGGAAACCGGGGCUAAUACCGGAUAACAUUUUGAACCGCAUGGUUCGAAAUUGAAAGGCGGCUUCGGCUGUCACUUAUGGAUGGACCCGCGUCGCAUUAGCUAGUUGGUGAGGUAACGGCUCACCAAGGCAACGAUGCGUAGCCGAGCUGAGAGGGUGGUCGGCCACACUGGGACUGAGAAACGGCCCAGACUCCUACCGGAGGCAGCAGUAGGGAAUCUUCCGCAAUGGACGAAAGUCUGACGGAGCAACGCCGCGUGAGUGAUGAAGGCUUUCGGGUCGUAAAACUCUGUUGUUAGGGAAGAACAAGUGCUAGUUGAAUAAGCUGGCACCUUGACGGUACCUAACCAGAAAGCCACGGCUAACUACGUGCCAGCCGCCGCCGUAA